rnacentral:rRNA from 1 species
GUAUGCCUUAGUAGCGGCGAGUGAGCGGCAAAAGCUCAAAUUUGAAAUCUGGCUCUUUCAGAGGGUGAGUUGUAAUUUGAAGAAGGUAUCUUUGGGUCUGGCGCUUGUCUAUGUUUCUUGGAACGAAACGUCCCAGGGGGUGAUAAUCCCGGGCGAUGAGAUGAUCCAGGCCUAUGUAAAGUUCCUUCGAAGAGUCGAGUUGUUUGGGAAUGCAGCUCUAAGUGGGUGGUAAAUUCCAUCUAAAGCUAAAUAUUGGCGAGAGACCGAUAACGAACAAAUACUUUGAUGGAAAGAUGAAAAGAACUUUGAAAAGAGAGUGAAAAAGUACUUGAAAUUGUUGAAAGGGAAGGGCUUGAGAUCACACUUGGUAUUUUGUAUGUUACUUCUUCGGGGGUGGCCUCUACAUUUUAUCGGGCCAGCAUCAGUUUGGGCGGUAGGAGAAUUGCGUUGGAAUGUGGCACGGCUUCGGUUGUGUGUUAUAGCCUUCGUCGAUACUGCCAGCCUAGACUGAGGACCGCGGGUUAUACCUACAGAUGUUGGCAUAAUGAUCUUACAACGCCCGUCUUGAAACACGGACCCAAA